rnacentral:lncRNA from 1 species
CCUCGAACUCCAUCAGGCCAUUACUAUAAUAAUCCACCACCACCAACAAAGAAUAUAUCACCAAGUACCCAUUAUGCACCACCUCCUCCCCCAUCUGUUCAUUAUGUUCCCACGCCUAGUCAUUCAUCGCCUCCACCGCCGCCACCUCAAGUUCAGUAUUUUCCACCCCCUUAUCCGUCAAGAGGGCAGCAAGCAAGUCCACCUCCACCACCAUCUCAUGAGCAUACGGGGACUCAAUCUCCACCUCCACCAGCAGAGUAUCAUCCACCUCCCAAGGAGUCAUGUCAUCCUAUCCCUCCUCCACCCCCACCAGAAUGCACAACUCCCGUACCAGCACCACCACCGCCAAGCCAACAUUCAACCCCAUCACCAUAUGCACCAGCACCUGGUCAUCACUAUUCAAAACCAUCCCCACCUCCUAAACAACAAUGGCAUUAUCCACCAUCCCCACAACAUCAAAACCCUUCUCCCCCACCCCCACCCCCGCCAACCCACUAUGCGUAUACAUUCCCACCGCCACCACCAUCUCCUUCUCCACCGCCACCCUCAUUUGAAAAUACGCCACUCCCACCAAUUAGAGGAGUAUCAUACGCAUCUCCUCCUCCGCCAGUUAUUCCCUACUACUAAAGAACUGCUUUUGCACGACAUUGAGUUGUAGUUCAAAAUCUUC